UACGGGGGGAGCAAGCGUUGUUCGGAAUUACUGGGCGUAAAGGGCGCGUAGGCGGUCAGGUAAGUGGGAUGUGAAAUCCUCCGGCUCACCCGGAGACAUGCAUCUCAUACUGUUUGACUAGAGUACGGGAGAGGAAUCGGGAAUUCCAGGUGUAGCGGUGAAAUGCGUAGAUAUCUGGAGGAACACCGGUGGCGAAGGCGCGAUUCUGGCCCGUUACUGACGCUGAGGCGCGAAAGCCAGGGGAGCAAACGGG
rnacentral:rRNA from 1 species